rnacentral:rRNA from 1 species
CACGUAGGGUGCGAGCGUUGUCCGGAAUUAUUGGGCGUAAAGAGCUCGUAGGCGGUUUGUCGCGUCGGGAGUGAAAUCCACUGGCUUAACUGGUGGCUUGCUUUCGAUACGGGCAGACUGGAGGUAUGCAGGGGAGAACGGAAUUCCUGGUGUAGCGGUGAAAUGCGCAGAUAUCAGGAGGAACACCGGUGGCGAAGGCGGUUCUCUGGGCAUGUCCUGACGCUGAGGAGCGAAAGUGUGGGGAGCGAACAGG